rnacentral:rRNA from 1 species
GAUUUUAGCAUGGAAUAAUGAAAUAGGACAGCGUUCUAUUUGUUGGUUUCUAGGAACGCCGUAAUGAUUAAUAGGGACUGUUGGGGGCAUUAGUAUUCAGUAGUCAGAGGUGAAAUUCUUGGAUUUACUGAAGACUAACUACUGCGAAAGCAUUUGCCAAAGAUGUUUUCAUUAAUCAGUGAACGAAAGUUAGGGGAUCGAAGACGAUCAGAUACCGUCGUAGUCUUAACCGUAAACAAUGCCGACUAGAGAUCGGGCGAUGUUCUUUUUCUGACUCGCUCGGCACCUUACGAGAAAUCAAAGUUUUUGGGUUCUGGGGGAAAUACGGUCGCAAGGCUGAAACUUAAAGAAAUUGACGGAAGGUCACCACCAGGCGUGGAGCCUGCGGCUUAAUUUGACUCAACACGGGGAAACUUACGAGGUCCAGAUGAAAUAAGGAUUGACAGAUUGAGAGCUCUUUCUUGAUUUUUCAGGUGGUGGUGCAUGGCCGUUCUUAGUUCGUGGGGUGACUUGUCUGCUUAAUUGCGAUAACGAGCGAGACCUUCCUCUGCUAAAUAGCCCGGCUAGCUUUGGCUGGUCGCCGGCUUCUUAGAGAGACUAUCGACUCAAGUCGAUGGAAGUUGGAGGCAAUAACAGGUCUGUGAUGCCCUUAGAUGUUCUCGGCCGCACGCGCGCUACACUGACGGAGCCAGCGAGUACUCCCUUGGCCGAAAGGCCUGGGUAAUCUUGUUAAACUCCGUCGUGCUGGGGAUAGAGCAUUGCAAU